UCUCUCUCUCUCUAAUUUUAAGAGUGGAAUGAGUUCCCAAAAUAUUAAUUUACAGACAAAAAAAAAUUAAAAGAACACCCUAGAAUUAGCAGGAUGGGAAUGAACAAAUUUCAAUUAAUUGCAUGUAAUUCAAUUUUUACCAACAAUAUAACUAAAUCGUUUUGGAACCAUAUGAAAAUUUUAUGAUAGUUGUACCAGAGAUCCAAAAUAUUUCGGUUCAUCUAAUGGCUAAUGAUUUUUAAGAAUUCCGGUUAACGGUUAAUUCGGUUUAAAAGUGUCGGUUAACUAAAUUGCAUGUACAUAUAUAUUUUUUAUUUUUUUUAUAAUUCAUAAAUCAUGCUAUUAGACUCGUUUUUCAAUUUUUAUCAUUUAAAUAUUGAUGUAAUGAGCAAUGACUACUUUGUAGUGUGAAACUAUGAAUUAAAAAUUUUCAUUAAUAAAUUUUAAGAAAUAAUAAAUUUGACUAAAAUAUUUGGUUCAGUUAAUUCAAAAAUAAGAAUUUCAAUUUGGUUAUUGGUUAAUGGUUAAAACAUUUUGCAAAUUCAGUUAUUUCGGUUCGAUUAUUACUCAUUGACGAAUGAACACCACCAAC